GUCCCUAUACAGAUAGCUUAGUAGGUAGAGCAUGAGACCCAUUAAUCUCAGGGUUGUGGGUUCAAGCCCCAUGUAGGGCA